GCCGAAAUAGCUCAGUUGGGAGUGCGUUAGACUGAAGAUCUAAAGGUCGUUGGUCGUUGGUUCGAUCCCGGGUUUUGGCA